rnacentral:misc_RNA from 1 species
AUCCAGAUCAGAUGGCGGCAACAAACAUUUUCUGCAUUAGUUGCAGAAUGUUCUGUGACUGUUAGGUGUACUAUCCAAGUCAUUCACGAUGUCAGCAAGAAAGAGUCUCACCAACCUGAAACCUCUUUCACAUAGAACUAAUGAAUCUAAUGCAAAUGAGAAGAAACAAGUGACAAUCUCGAAAUUCUUUGCAUCAAAAAGUGCGAAAAAUGACUCUGAAUUGGUAAUUAUAGACAAUUCUUCAAGGGAAGGAAGUGCCGAUGAGAAAAAGGUUUCGUCAACAAUAAAGAAACGACGUAGGAAAAAGGUGAACGAUUCUGAUGACAACAGGUCUAAAAAGCAGUGUUUAGAUGAUGGAGGGGCUCAAUUUUCUGAAAAAGAAGCAGAAACAGGACCAUCUUCUGUCAUCAAAGUCGACAGGCUACGGACAGAUGAAGCUUCAAAUGGUGAAAAGUCGACAGAGCGUGAGAAAAAUGAUUCAAGGUCCCAUUGUAUUUCACCAGGGGUAGAGCAUGCAACCUCACUGAGUGAGAAUACAAAACACAAAUUGCAGCAGUUUGAAUCCAGCGUUAAUAAAGAUGGAGAUUCAAAUUCAGGAGAAAUAAUAAGUAUAUCAGAACUAAAACGUAACAGAAACUUACCUGAUAUUUCUUCAGUUUCAAGUAGUUUAUCUAAAGAAAAUGACUUGGAAGCAAGCAAGACUUCAGAUAGUGAUGACGAAUACAACGCACCAGGCACUUCAAAAUCUAUGCCAGCAAGUUCUACGUUGACAAAGAUCAUUCGUAAAAGUAGUUCUACUUUUGCAAGUAACUCCACUUUUGCAAAUAAAACUACUAAAACCCCGACAUCUGCAGGUAAGAAGGGCAAGUACACACCUCUGGAGCAACAAUUUGUGGACAUCAAAGACAAAUGUCCACACGCUGUGUUGUGUGUCGAGUGUGGAUACAGAUACAGAUUCUUUGGACAAGACGCAGAGAUUGCAGCUGAAGUUCUAAAUAUAUUUUGUCAUCUUGACCAUAACUUCAUGACUGCCAGCAUCCCUACUCAUCGACUCUUCGUCCAUGUCCGGAGGCUGGUUGCUGCGGGUUACAAGGUGGGAGUUGUUAAACAGAUGGAAACUGCAGCUUUAAAAGCAGCAGGGGAUAAUCGAAGUGCACCAUUUACUCGAGAGUUAUCUGCCCUUUAUACAAAAUCAACAUUGAUUGGAGAAGAUGUGAACCCACUACUUAAUGUGGAGGACACUGGAGAUUCUUCAUGUGGUACCAGUACUUCCUACCUCAUGUGUGUGUAUGAAGCACCACCGAACAAAAACAGCAAACAGCAUACCACUGCCAUCUUUGCUAUUCAGCCCUCCACUGGGGACGUUGUGUAUGAUAGCUUUGAGGACAAUGCCAUGCAUGGAGAACUAGAGACUCGGUUGUUUCACAUUCAACCAUCAGAAAUCCUCAUCUCUGAUGACCUGCACGAGGACACAGAUAACUUUAUACAGCGGCUAGCGUCCAUCAGCUGCACACCUGAUGACCGUAUGAGAGUAGAGAGGAUAGACGGCCAACAACUAGAGUACAACACUGCCUUCCAGACUGUCUCCAAAUUCUACACAAAUGAAAACAUAGCUGGAAUCAGCCUUCUACAGGAAGUCCUAAGUCUGCCACGUCCAGUCAUUUCCUGUCUGGCCGGAACAAUCUCCUAUCUAUCUGAUUUCAACCUGGACAAGAUCCUUACACUGACCAGCAACUUUACACAGUUUUCUGUGAAGUCAAAGUUUAUGCAGCUUCCCGGUAACACAGUUCGAAAUCUGGAGAUGUUCCAGAACCAGACCAACGGAAGUGAAAGAGGAUCCCUGUUUCGGGUUAUGAACCAGACCGUAUCCAGGUUUGGUGGACGAAUGCUUCGGAUGUGGCUCAGUAGACCUCUACUCUCAGCAUCGGAAAUCAAACAGAGGCAUGCAGCAGUCCAGGAUCUAAUCGAUGGACCAUGUGCUGAAACUAUGGCCAAACUACGGGCAAUCCUCGGCAAAAGUCCCGAUCUGGAAAAGGGACUUGCUUCUAUCUAUCACAAAAAAUGUAGCGUUGUCGAGUUUUACUUAGUAUGUAAAGCACUCAGCCAACUACAGAAGGAUGUCCAGCUUCUGGCUAGAUCACAGUGUCCACAGCUAAACUCUCACCUUCUGAAGACAAUCUUGACCAGUGUGCCUGACCUUCUACAGGACGCUGAAUCAUUUGUGUCAUCCAUCAGGGAAAAGUCGGUCAGAGAUAAUGAAAAGACACAGUUAUUUGCGGAUGAGGGUAAAUUCCCUUUAAUACCAAAGGGGAAACAGGCCAUACAGGAAGUGAUGUCAGAGAUUCAGGCCCACAGACGUGAGGUCCGCUUGGUUCUACGACUUCCUGCACUCGAAUAUGUCACUGUCAUGGGAACAGAGUUUUUGAUUGAGGUGAAAAACAAUUCCGUCCACUUGGUACCGAAGGAUUGGAUUAAAAUCAGCAGCACAAAGGCCGUGAGCAGGUUUCACUCUCCAUUUAUAGAGAAGACUUACCGCAGGCUUCAGCAGCUGCGAGAACAGCUGAAGCUGGACUGUCACCGGGUGUGGCUGGAGUUUCUCAGCUCAUUUGGAGAAAAUUACCAGAGCUACAAAAAGGCUGUGCAACAUCUGGCUACUCUGGACUGUUUGUUUUCAUUGGCAGCCAUUGCUAAACACCAUGACUACUGCAGACCUGAAAUUGUGGAUGAUGAUGAAUUCUGUAUUCACAUUGAAAAUGGGCGACAUCCAAUAAUCCAACAGUUGAUUGGCGAGCAUGAACAGUAUGUCCCUAAUCAUACCAGGUUGUCUAGAGAAUCUGAUAGAGUGAUGAUUAUUACGGGGCCAAACAUGGGAGGGAAAAGUUCCUACAUCAAGCAGGUAGCACUGAUCGCAGUCAUGGCCCAGAUUGGGUCUUACGUUCCUGCCGAAUCAGCCAGGCUAGGGAUUCUAGAUGCUGUUUACACAAGAAUGGGAGCCUCCGAUGAAAUCUACAGCCGACGAAGUACCUUUAUGGUAGAACUACAGGAAGCGUCAGACAUCAUAGCCAAUGCUACCGACCGAUCCCUCGUCAUACUGGAUGAACUAGGUCGGGGGACGAGUACUCACGACGGAACAGCCAUUGCACUUGCUACACUUGACUACUUCAUUCAAAAGGUCAAAUGUCUGUGCCUGUUUGUGACCCAUUACCCAAUGCUGUCUGAGUUUGAACACAAGUUUCCGGGGAUAGUCCAAAACUUCCACAUGUCUUUCUUCUUGGAUGAUGAAGAAGUUAGUGGUGGGCGUGGCUGGGCGGAGUUAUGGCCUCAAUGUCGCACGACUAGCUGGCAUUCCACAUGACAUCAUCCAGCAGGGGGCAUGUCAGUCAAAGUACCUGGAAGCCAAAAUCAUGGAAAGGAGAGAGCAGUUAAAGUUGUUCCAAGCAAUGUUUACAUGCCCGAAGACCGAGAUGGCAGAUAUUUUACAGGAACUACAGAAAAGUGAAGACCAACA